rnacentral:misc_RNA from 1 species
GUCGGACGGCGGCCUCCUCAGUUCAGGCCCGCGUGCACGAUGUGCCUAGCGGUCAAUGGUCGGGUUCCUGUGUUGUGUGCCCACGCAAGGGGUAAUCGGUUUGUUUCUGUUCGACGUUCGCCCGAUGCCCGCUCAGGGCAUGAGGUGAACGCUGUGGCGCCUCUCGUGUUCCGCCCGGGUCGCUCUGUUGAUCGCGGUGGCUCAUGGGAGGAGGCCUGUGCUUCGGGAUGCGGAAGGCCUUGUACGGCCGAGGGAUUGCGUCUCUCGGUCGACGAAGACUGUCCUUAAAAACGAGAACGACCCACGGCUCCCGUUUCCGACCCAAGGUGGGGCGGGCGUCGAGGUCACGAAGGAAUGC